rnacentral:sRNA from 1 species
UUUUAUGUUGUCCCAGAAUCUUUUUGACAGAAAAAUGUCUAAUUGUAUUUUUUUUUCAAAUUUCAAUACACACACUCGCCUACCUUAUAACCCUAUCGGUAAUGCCUAAAUCUAGAUCUAUAAAGAAAGAAGAUCAAUUAUAGGCGGUCAAAAAAUGAACCGAGUUCACCAUGUCAAAAGACAAGAUAUCUUGAUGUGAUAGGUUUCAUUGCUGUUGUUACACUUCAAUCACAGAGAAUGACAAGUCAUAAAAAAACUAAUUGAAUUGAGUAUUUCAACACCAAAAAAGUUUUUUUUAAUUUCAUAAAAGCACUAAUAAUAAACCUCCCCCUCAAAAAAAAUAAAAUAAAUAAAAGGUCCAGCUUUAAAUUCUUAGUGUUUUAUGUAUUCAUCCUUCUUCUGAAAUGCCUUUGAUGUAACAGGUGGUUUUGCUUCCACUACUUUUGUCCAUUCUACAUAUUUGGCAAUAAACUUUAUAUGUAAAAGACAAUCCCUUAAGCUAUUAAAUUAAAUAAACAGGUGAAACUACACACGUCAAAUCUUGCCAUUUACUUACAAAUUUGUCUAAGUACUAGAUAAUCUUAAAGAGCAAGCCUAGGUUUUAACACAAUUUAAGUUUGUGCACAGUUGAGCCCAAAAUAUAGUAACACACAUUACUGGACAAAACAAUUUGCAUUAAUUAGUUUUGAGCCAAUAUUUAAAAGAACCCUAUAAAAGCUUUUUAUUUUUUUCUCAUGUGUUUCUCUUCCUUACAAUAUUACCAUUGAAGACAGAAAAAAGCUAGUGUCAGAAAACUGAAUGUAAUCUACAUUUUUUAAAAAUAACUUUGAUAUAGAGCGAAUUUCAUGCUUAUUACAUUCACAACGAUCCAAUCUCUUUUGUGGACCAGUUGGGGGUAUCUGGGACAAGUUUUUGUUCAUGCUGCCUUUAGGCGCUCAGAAAACACAACUCUGCUCGAGACGGGGUUCCAACUCAAGCCCCUUUGAUAGGGAGCCAAGCGGCUUUAGCACCUUAGCCUCACACCCAACCAUCAUUAUCUGUUUGUUUUCUUGUUUUAAAUUGACCAUAUCUGAUAGGACAGUAAACAACUUGUUUGCAUCACUCAAGUCCAACAAAGAAUCCAAACCUUAUUUUUUCACAUCUUGAUCAUUUGCCCAGGUCACAGAAGUGAGGGGCAUAGGAAACAUUCAGAAAAAUCUGGUUUUUGUUCGUAACUUUCAUGUCAUCCAAUGGAACACUUAGACUGAUGACUACAACAUAUAGAUUUCAAUAUAAAGAGAGAAAUAUUAAUGCAAAGCACAUAAAGAUGUUUUCAAAUGUAUUGAUUCAACUUAAAAUUGAAUAUAUUUACAUGACAAUGUACAUUUAUAAUACAGACUACAUAAAUAAUAAUCUACAAGGUAUGAGAAAAUAAAUAACUCGAUGUUUAACAAUGUUUAACAAUCGGGGCUGAGUUUCAAAGAAGUGACCAACAACGGACAGUAGGUCAAUGCAUGUCUGAUACGCAGCUUUGAAUUGUGACAUAUUUGUUAUCUAAAUGCAUUGAUCUGGAAGGAAAGGGGAUGGGAAGUUUGUAUUUGCCACAAUAUACAAACACAAGUGACAAGUACCUACAAGAUGUACCAUUUCAUAUGAAAUCUAGGACAGAGAAUACAUGUAAAGGAUAACUACUCUGCUUAGUGAAGAUUAUAAAAGUGAUUUCCAAAAACACUUUCUGACAUGUAGUUGACUCAUUUAGUGCAUAGUUAUUUCAGUUUAUUUUGUUUCCUACACAGCAAGCUGUAAUUUCUUAUCCGUUGGAGGAUUUAUUUAGAAAAGACUUCAUUUUGUUCUUAUUAUAAAUUAGGCCUACAUUUAGCAUUUUUCCUUCAUAUUGAAACAAAAAUAUUAAGUCCCAAAGUAAAUUGAAACACACACACUUUGAUGAGGAAACAUUUCUGUAUCAAUGAUGUGAACAGAUUUCCUAAAAGUAAAUAGCUAUCACCAUUUUUGAAAAGUUAGAUCUAACUAACACUUCAUGGCAACUGACCAAAUACCAAAAAUGCCUUAUUAUGAUUACAAAAUUUAAAAAAAUAAGCUGGUUUUCAUCAAGAGGCUAAAAGAAAUUAACUUCUAAAAAAAACUAGACAUUCAUAAAAACAGAGACUAGGUAUUGAAUAGAGCUUACAUUCAAGAGAAAAUUGAAUUAAUUUUCUAUAUCUUUUACAGCCAUUAUUGAGUUUGUCCAAAUAUUACAUGGAGGCACAAAUACUAUCAAACAAACAAAAAAUACACUAGUGUAUUAAUACAUCCAAAAUUAUUUUGCACUUCAAACCACUAAUCUUAAAAUGGUUUUUAAAAUCCAACUAAUCUUGUCAUUGGUAACUAAAAUAUUUCCACAAAAAAAAACAACAACAAAACAUGUGUUUCAGAUAGAGUACAGCCAUGAGAUCAACAUGUUCAGUAAAAGACUUAGUCUCAAGUUGAAAGACAAAGUACUGGUAUAAGCUGAAAACAAUAUUUCCUUGUUAUUGAAUUUUUAAAAAAUGUGUAUGGCUGGCUGCGGAUGUGGUUUUACAGUACUGGCAAAAAAAAGU